rnacentral:misc_RNA from 1 species
UCUCCGUUGGUGAACCAGCGGAGGGAUCAUUACUGAGUGUAAAAACUCCCAAACCCCUGUGAACAUACCAUCUGUUGCUUCGGCGGGAUCGCCCCGGGCGCCUUUGCGUGCCCCGGAUCCAGGCGCCCGCCGGAGGACUCCAAACUCUUGUUUUAUAUGUGGCAUUAUCUGAGUGGCUUAUAGCAAAUAAAUCAAAACUUUCAACAAUGGAUCUCUUGGCUCUG